GACGAACGCUGGCGGCGUGCUUAACACAUGCAAGUCGAACGGAAAGGCCCUGCUUUUGUGGGGUGCUCGAGUGGCGAACGGGUGAGUAACACGUGAGUAACCUGCCCUUGACUUUGGGAUAACUUCAGGAAACUGGGGCUAAUACCGGAUAGGAGCUCCUGCUGCAUGGUGGGGGUUGGAAAGUUUCGGCGGUUGGGGAUGGACUCGCGGCUUAUCAGCUUGUUGGUGGGGUAGUGGCUUACCAAGGCUUUGACGGGUAGCCGGCCUGAGAGGGUGACCGGCCACAUUGGGACUGAGGUACGGCGCAGACUGCUACGUGAGGCAGCAGUGGGGAAUAUUGCACAAUGGGCGGAAGCCUGAUGCAGCAACGCCGCGUGCGGGAUGACGGCCUUCGGGUUGUAAACCGCUUUCGCCUGUGACGAAGCGUGAGUGACGGUAAUGGGUAAAGAAGCACCGGCUAACUACGUG
rnacentral:rRNA from 1 species